rnacentral:rRNA from 1 species
UACGUAGGGUGCGAGCGUUGUCCGGAAUUAUUGGGCGUAAAGGGCUCGUAGGCGGUUUGUCGCGUCGGGAGUGAAACACUGGGCUUAACUCAGUGCUUGCUUCCGAUACGGGCAGACUAGAGGUAUUCAGGGGAGAACGGAAUUCCUGGUGUAGCGGUGAAAUGCGCAGAUAUCAGGAGGAACACCGGUGGCGAAGGCGGUUCUCUGGGAAUGUCCUGACGCUGAGGAGCGAAAGUGUGGGGAGCGAACAGG